CGGCAACAGCUCAAAUUUGAAAUCUGGCCCUCUCAGGGUCCGAGUUGUAAUUUGGAGAGGAUGCUUCGGGUGUGGCCCCGGUCUAAGUUCCUUGGAACAGGACGUCACAGAGGGUGAGAAUCCCGUCUUGAAUCGGUGACCGCGUCCAUGUGAAGCUCCUUCGAC
rnacentral:rRNA from 1 species